rnacentral:rRNA from 1 species
UACGUAGGGGCAAGCGUUGUCCGGAUUUAUUGGGCGUAAAGAGCGUGUAGGCGGCCUGAAAGGUCAGCUGUGAAAACUCGAGGCUCAACCUCGAGACGUCGGUCGAAACCAUCUGGCUAGAGUCCGGAAGAGGAGAGUGGAAUUCCUGGUGUAGCGGUGAAUGCGCAGAUAUCAGGAGGAACACCGAUGGCGAAGGCAGCUCGCUGGGACGGUACUGACGCUGAGGCGCGAAAGCGUGGGAGCGAACAGG